UUGUCGCAAGCCUUCGCCAUGGUCAUGGAUUCAAACUUGUAAUGUUGCCAAAGCACCGUCGCUGUGAUGGGGCUUUGUCUCCCAUCUGCGUGAAACGAAACCCUUGAAUCCUCACGUCGGCGCAGCCCAUUCAUCCUCCGCACCUCGAUCGCCUAUUGCUAGGAUUCCCACUCGAAGGGUUUCUGCACUCGAUCAAGACGACGUCAGAACAAUCCCCGGUGUAAAUGGGACUCCUUCUACGGGCGAAACGAAAGUGCUACUAAGGCUGCUGUGAUGCAGUGGGCAAUGGAAGAUGAACACCAUCUGUAAAUUGAACAAUCCUGUGUGUCAAGGAAGAGCUUUGAUAUAACAGUAUGAUUGUUCUUUUGCACCAGAGAAACAUCUCUUCUCGCAGAGGUGUCUGCAGGGAAGCUCCUUCCUGCUUGGACCGAUGCUCGAUCACCACUUUGUCAUUAAUGGGGAAAGAGAUGUUUGUUUGAUGGAGUCAAUGCUGGGAUCGAGAAGAAACCGAGCUACACAUGGAUUUGAUGGGUAGGCAAAUCUUGUUUGGUGAAAGUGAGUUGGAGAUGAUAACCUAAACUUUUCUUUUCUUGUAAUCCAAACCUGUUCAUGCAGUUUAUCUGGAAAGUCAGCUGUUACUGUCAUUCUAUAAAUAUGUGUAGGUGAAGGAACUGAACCUUCAUGAGCAAGCCAAAGACCUGCAAACUGA